GACGAACGCUGGCGGCGUGCUUAACACAUGCAAGUCGAGCGGAAAGGCCCUGCUUUUGUGGGGUGCUCGAGUGGCGAACGGGUGAGUAACACGUGAGUAACCUGCCCUUGACUUUGGGAUAACUUCAGGAAACUGGGGCUAAUACCGGAUAGGAGCUCCUGCUGCAUGGUGGGGGUUGGAAAGUUUCGGCGGUUGGGGAUGGACUCGCGGCUUAUCAGCUUGUUGGUGGGGUAGUGGCUUACCAAGGCUUUGACGGGUAGCCGGCCUGAGAGGGUGACCGGCCACAUUGGGACUGAGAUACGGCCCAGACUCCUACGGGAGGCAGCAGUGGGGAAUAUUGCACAAUGGGCGGAAGCCUGAUGCAGCAACGCCGCGCGCGGGAUGACGGCCUUCGGGUUGUAAACCGCUUUCGCCUGUGACGAAGCGUGAGUGACGGUAAUGGGUAAAGAAGCACCGGCUAACUACGUG
rnacentral:rRNA from 1 species